GUUUUGAGAAGCUAAUUAGCAUUGGUCUUGUAAACCAAAGAUAGGAUAUAGACACCCCAAAACU
rnacentral:tRNA from 1 species